rnacentral:rRNA from 1 species
CCCAGACUCCUACGGGAGGCAGCAGUGGGGGAUAUUGCACAAUGGGGGGAACCCUGAUGCAGCGACGCCGCGUGGGUGAAGGAGCGUUUCGGCGCGUAAAGCCCUAUCGGCAGGGAAGAAGGAGGACGGUACCUGACUAAGAAGCCCCGGCUAACUACGUGCCAGCAGCCGCGGUAAUACGUAGGGGGCAAGCGUUAUCCGGAUUUUCUGGGUGUAAAGGGGGCGCAGACGGCAGCGCAAGCCAGGAGUGAAAGCCCGGGGCCCAACCCCGGGACUGCUCUUGGAACUGCGCGGCUGGAGUGCAGGAGGGGCAGGCGGAAUUCCUGGUGUAGCGGUGAAAUGCGUAGAUAUCAGGAGGAACACCGGUGGCGAAGGCGGCCUGCUGGACUACGACUGACGUUGAGGCCCGAAAGCGUGGGGAGCAAACAGGAUUAGAUACCCGAGUAG